GACCUUGAAUUUACGGGCGCGAUGACGCAUGUAUGGAAGUGCCCGGUCGCUCCGGGUGAUGGUGCUGAACACCUCACUAACUACUCGUACUGGACCCGGGGGCAGUACCCGGCGGCUCCACCAGACACGCCGGCGCCGAGCCUUCAAGGGCGCGCCGGCCUCCCUGGGGCCGAAACAGGCUCGACAGGCGGGAAAAGGUGCGGUUUGUACCCGGCAUGGUACCGCCGUUAUCGGGCCAUUAGAGAGUUGCGAACGAUAACGCUGCUCCGGAGAUGGCCGUCGCUGCGUAAGCAGCGAAGGUGAACUCCACCUUUAAUCCCAACGGCGUUAGCUGCCGUUGGUGGGGUUCCGGCGGGGCCCCUCGCAACAGAAUGCCCCGCCA
rnacentral:tmRNA from 1 species